rnacentral:rRNA from 1 species
GUGGGGAAUAUUGCACAAUGGGGGAAACCCUGAUGCAGCAACGCCGCGUGAAGGACGACGUAUUUCGGUAUGUAAACUUCUAUCAGCAAGGAAGAUGAUGACGGUACUUGACUAAGAAGCCCCGGCUAACUACGUGCCAGCAGCCGCGGUAAUACGUAGGGGGCAAGCGUUAUCCGGAUUUACUGGGUUUAAAGGGAGCGUAGGCGGGCUGUUAAGUCAGCGGUCAAAUGUCAGGGCCCAACCUUGGCAUGCCGUUGAUACUGGCGGCCUUGAGUUCACACAAGGAAGGUGGAAUUCGUCGUGUAGCGGUGAAAUGCUUAGAUAUGACGAAGAACUCCGAUUGCGAAGGCAGCCUUCUGGGGUGUUACUGACGCUGAGGCUCGAAAGUGCGGGAAUCAAACAGGAUUAGAUACCCCGGUAGUCC